GCCAGGCAUGGUGGCGCAUGCCUGUAAUCCUAGCUACUUGGAGGCUGAGGCAGGAGAAUUGCUUGAACCCGGGAGGUGGAGGUUGCAGUGAGCGGAGAUCGCAACACUGCACUCCAGACUGGGCAACAGAGCGAAACUCUGUCUCCA
rnacentral:SRP_RNA from 2 species